rnacentral:rRNA from 1 species
UACGGGGGGGGCAAGCGUUGUUCGGAAUUACUGGGCGUAAAGGGCUCGUAGGUGGCCAACUAAGUCGGACGUGAAAUCCCUCAGCUUAACUGGGGAACUGCGUCCGAUACUGGAUGGCUUGAGUUUGGGAGAGGGAUGCGGAAUUCCAGGUGUAGCGGUGAAAUGCGUAGAUAUCUGGAGGAACACCGGUGGCGAAGGCGGCAUCCUGGACCGGGAUUGACACUGAGGCGCGAAAGCCAGGGGAGCAAACGGG